UACGGAGGGUGCGAGCGUUGUCCGGAAUCACUGGGCGUAAAGGGCGCGUAGGCGGCCUGAUAAGUAGGGGGUGAAAUCCUGCGGCUUAACCGCAGGGCUGCCUUCUAAACUGUCGGGCUAGAGCACGGUAGAGGCAGAUGGAAUUCCCGGUGUAGCGGUGGAAUGCGUAGAGAUCGGGAAGAACACCAGUGGCGAAGGCGGCUCACUGGCCCGGUACUGACGCUGAGGUGCGAAAGCGUGGGGAGCAAACA
rnacentral:rRNA from 1 species